AGCAAUACUUGGCGGCGACCGGCGCAAGGGUGCGUAACGCGUGAGCAACAUGCCCGUAUCAGGGGGAUAAUCCAGGGAAACUUGGUCUAAUACCCCAUAGUAAUUUUGUAAGGCAUCUUAUAAGAUUUAAAGCUUUGGUGGAUACGGAUUGGCUCGCGUGACAUUAGCUGGAUGGUAAGGUAACGGCUUACCAUGGCUAUGAUGUCUAGGGGUUCUGAGAGGAAGGUCCCCCACACUGGAACUGAGACACGGUCCAGACUCCUACGGGAGGCAGCAGUGAGGAAUAUUGGACAAUGGAUGGAAAUCUGAUCCAGCCAUGCCGCGUGAAGGAAAGAAGGUCCUAUGGAUUGUAAACUUCUUUUGUAUGGGAGCAAUAAGGCCUACGAGUAGGUUGAUGAGAGUACCAUACGAAUAAGCACCGGCUAACUCCGUGCCAGCAGCUGC
rnacentral:rRNA from 1 species